ACAGGCUUGAAAUCCUGGGCUCAGGUGAUCCUCCCAAGUAGCCUACUCUAUAGGCUCACACCACCAUGCCCAGCUAACUUUAUUUAUUUAUUUAUUUAUUUAUUUUAGCAACAGGGUCUCAAUUUGUUGCCCAAGCUCAUCUUGAACUCCUGGCUUGCCUCCCUUAAGUGCUGGGAUUACAGGUGUGGGCCACUGUGCCCAGUGAUUUUUGUAGAAAGAAAUGUGGAGGUUGGUGAAUGUUAGCGUUGGUUCAAUUAUUUCAUGGUGUCAGCCCAUGUGUCUUUGAGAUUAUUCGGGAUUCUACAGUUCCAGGCCUCACAUUCAGAACACCCAGAAGAAGGAAGGGGAGGCACCAGCUACCAGAAACCCUUGAUCAUAAUUUUGCUGACCACUCAUUGACCACAAUUGUGUCACAUGGCCACCCCUAGCUGCAAAGAAGAAUGGGGAGGAACUGGACACAAUUAUGGAGGCUGAGAAGUCCCAUGAUCUGCUGUGUGCAAGCUGGAGACCCAGGAAAGCUGGUGGUGUCAUUCAGUCUUGGUCUGAAGAUCUGAGAGCCAGGGAAGCUGACGGUGUUACUCUCAAUCUGAGGUCAAAGGCCUGAGAACCAGCGGUCUCAGUAAUGUCCACAGAAACCCAACUGUCGCAGAAACCUGAGUGGUAAAGUGUCAGCAGCAGGAGUUCUGAAUAACAUUUCAGGGGCAGAAAAACCGCACUGGCCUUUCCUUCAAUGGUGAGCAGACUCUAGCCCGUCUUCUGCGGAGCGAUUUAUCCCGACAGAGCCCAACUCCGACCCACAACCACAGUCCUGGAUCUUCAGCUCACUCAUCUGUCUCUGUCCAAGUGCUGCUUCCCAGUCUACACAGACCCUAAUUUGGGUUUUGAGCAUCACUAUGCCUUUUUAUAUCUUCAUUUUAUAUUUUCACCACCACUGCUGUAUGUUUAGAAAAGAAGAAAUGUCCCAAAGAGGCUGGGCUCGGUAGCUCACGCCUGUAAUCGCAGCACUUUGGGAUGCCGAAGCAGGGGGAUCGCUUGAGGUCAGGAGUUCGAGACCAGCCUGGCCAACAUGGCAAAACCCCGUCCCUACUAAAAAUGCCAAAAUUAGCUGGACGUGGUGGCGGGGGCCUGUAAUGCCAGCUACUCGGGAGGCUGAGGCAGGAGAAUUGCUUGAACCCGGGAGGCAGAGGUUGCAGUAGGCAGAGAUUCCACCAUUGUAUUCCAGCCUGGGCGACAGAGCAGGACUCUGUCCAAAAAAAAAAAAAGAAAAGAAAAAAAGUUCCACACAAUGGAGUUAGCAUCCACUUGAAUAAGAUUCUGUAUUAAUUCAGGAUCAAAAGAUUUGAGAGGAAAAAAAGGUUUUUGUUUGUUUGUUUUUUUGAGACGAAGUCUCACUUGGUCACCCAGGCUGGAGUGCAGAGGUGUGAUCUCAGCUCACUGCAACCUCUGCCUCCUGGGUUCAAGCGAUUCUCAUGCCUCAGCCUCCUGAAUAGCUGGGACUACAGGCACGUGCCACCACGCCGGGCUAAUUUUGUACUUUUAGUAGAGAUGGGGUUUCGCCAUGUUGGCCAGGCUGGUCUCGAACUCUUGAUCUCAGGUGAUCCACCUGCCUUGGCCUCCCAAAGUGCUGGGAUUACAGGCAUGAGCCACCGCGCCCGGCCAAAAAAAUGUAGUUUUAAUGGCUGCAAGUUUUUGAAACUGUUGUUAUAUGGAGAGCAUAGCAACUAUGUCCUCUGAUAAAUAAGUUUGUAACAGCCCUGUGUUCAAUGGCUAAUAGGUGGUAUUUUUAAAAGACUUGUAGCUCGUGAAACAUUGUAAGUGCCUUGUGAUUUGUGUUUGUGUGAAAACUGGAGCUUACUCCAAAUUUAUGUUGAAACUUAUUAUCUUUUCACUUUCUCAAGAAUGACAACUGGGAAAAGUUAAAAACUCAAAGGCCAAAUAUUAUGUCAAACCAGUAAUGGAGGUACAGAAAACAUCAGAAAAAUAGAAUAUCAGAAGUCAAAGAGGGAUUUAUCUUUCCUAGUUCUAUUCUCUACUGGAUGGAUAAUCUUAUUCCCUGGGGGUUGCUGGAAGAAGAGAGGUGAGUCUUACUUUUUUAUAGCAAGUUGUUAUGGGGGAAAAAAAUCUGUACCAAAGAAACCAACUUUUUUUCUGUAAUAAAAACGUAUUUUUGGGCUAGGCACGGUGGCUCACACCUGUAAUCCCAGAACUUUGGGAGGCCAAGGCAGGCGAAUCACUUGAGGUCAGGAGUUUGAGGCCAGCCUGGCCAACAUGGUGAAACUCCUGUCUCUACUAAAAAUAAAAAAAUUAGCCAAGUGUGGUGACGCACACCUGUAAUCCCAGCUACUCAGGAGGCUGAGGCAAGAAUCACUUGAACCCGGGAGGCAGAGGUUGCAGUGAGCCGAAAUCAUGCCAUUACACUCCAGCCUGGGCAAUAAGCAAAACCUCCAUCUCAAAAAAAUGUAUAAAACCAAAUUUUUGGUUUUAGCUUCAUUCUGUUUUUAAAUCUCUCUAGGUAUGAUGAUGUCCCUGGCAUUUUUCUUCCAAAAAAAACAUCCAAAGUGGAAGUUUUUUCUUAAAGAAUACAUUUCUUACGUUAAACUUAACGAAAUGUUAAAAUCUAAAUUUUAAGACAAUACAAUAAAAAUACCUUGGGCAUAAUGCAAAGACUUAUAUUUAAGGAAUUUCAGGCUAAAGUUCAUUAUAUUGAUUUCUAGUUUAUUAGCAUUAUCAACAAUAGUAAUGGUGUGUAAGUUUAGUCUAUCAGACAAGACACUAUUCAGAUAACAGGAGACCUGGAAUGGUGACUAAAAUAGGUAUUGGUCCCAAUUUGCAGAAAACCGCUCUCAUCUUAAACUCUCACUUUCCUGUCGUUCAGUUUAAGAGUUUGAUUUAUUUUGUAAACAAUAAGCUGUACAACUCUGUAUGUUGCCAAUUAGAAAUAACUUUGUUAUUUUUUUCAAAGGGGGUUUUCUGGGUAUGGUGUGCAUACACGUGAAUUUAAAUAUAGGGCCAGGCAUGGUGGCUCACGCCUGUAAUCUCAGCUCUCUAGGUGCCACUUUAAAUUUGAAGCUUAUUUUUAGAGCUCCUAAAAGGAUGCCUCGCUGAAGUUAUUAAAGGGCUCCUAACACUAACAAUUUGUUGACAUACUGUCUGUUUCUUCAUCUUCUGUCUAAAGAACGUUAAGUGCCUCUCCCCUGCUACCAAGUCAGAGAGCAUAUGAAUAAAAAUUAAUAAUCUGUAGGUGUUUUAGCAGGUUACAUCUGGGGGGUCUUGAGAAGUGAGACAGUGGAAGAGUUUAUUGUUCAUUGAGUCAAAAUGUCAUGGCUAGUAUCCACCAGCUAAAGCUAAGUUCCAUAAUACAGAACCACUUAUUUUAGGCAGGAAGAUAACAGCCCUGUCUUCAGAGAUCUAGUUUACAUUACAUGCAACUUGCUUUGAAACAUUUUCCUAUCCUCAUAUUUCUCAUAUUUUCUUAUUCUAAUAGCAUCCCUGUCCUAGUUUCUGGGUGUGUCACUGGUUUAAGAGCGUUAACAAUACAGAUCUCCAGGGAACAUCUUCACCUUACAGGUGGGGAAAUGCAGGACGAAAGAAAUUUGCAGGCCAGGUGCCGUGGCCCGUGCCCGUAAUCCUAGCACUUUGGGAGAUCAAGGCAGGUGGAUCACUUGAGCCCAGGAGUGGAGUUUAAGACCAGCCUGGCAAACAUGGUGAAACCCUGUCUCCACACAAAAAAUACAAAACUUAGCGGAGCGUGGUGGCACCCAACUAUAGUCCCCGCUACCCAGGAGUCUAAGGUGGGAGGAUCAUGUUAGCCCGGGAGGUUGAGUCUGCAGCAACCCAUGAUCAUGUCACUGCAUUUCAGCCUGGGGUGACAGAGUGAGACCCUGUCUCCAAAAAAAACUAAAAAGAAAACGAAGUUUGCAAAGUCUCCAAGUUUAAGCUAUGAGUGAGUGGCUCUGACAGGGUCCAAUCUAAAUCUACCUGGCUGCAAAGCCAGUGCUCUCUCCCAUACCACACACAUACUUCCUUCCCAAAGUAUUCCCACAUUUUGGUUUUCAGUAUGCUGAUGGAUUUCAGGCUUAUGGAUUUCACUGUUCCUUUUUAUGCCAAGCGAGCACCUCUAUAGCAUUUGUUGCACAAUUAGCAAUUCUAUAGCUAAAAACAGGGAUGUUAAGAAAUCUAUAAAGCUGUCCUGUGUGAAUGAGGCUUAGGAUGUUCAUUUACAGAGCUUUCUCUGUCAGUGUUUGGGUUGUGCAUACAUGUGUUUGUGAUUCUUAUUUUUUAUUUAUUUAUUUAUUUUUUUUUUUUUGAGACAGAGUCUUGCUCUGUCACCCAGCCUGGGAAGUGCUGCUAUCUUGGCUCACCGCAAACUCUGCCUCCUAAGUUCAAGCGAUUCCCCUGCCUCAGCCUCCUGAGUAGCUGGGAUUACAGGCGCCUGCCACCAUGCCCGGCUAACUUUUGUAUCUUUAGUAGAGACGGGGUUUCACCAUGUUAGCCAGACUGGUCUCAAACUCCUACUCAGGUGAUCCGCCCUCCUCGGCCUCCCAAAGUGAUGGGAUCACAGGCGUAAGCCACUGCGCCCGGCCACAGUCUAAUAGUUAUGAUGAUGAUGACCAUCACCAUGAUGUGCUGUUGUCAUCCAUCUUACAGAUGAGGAAACCAAGCCCUGGUCAGUUGGCUCCAAAUUCAAUAUGAGAAUGAGACAAGCUUUCUAUUUUGUUACACCACCCUUGUUAUUUGGGGUGUUCCUGUUCUAAAAGUCAAAAUUAGGUGACAUAGCAAUAUUAAUAUCCCAUCUUUUCUAAAGCAGACCUUAUGUGGGACAAGUACCUCUGAUCUUUCCUUCAAAAUUCCUUUUUCAAAAAAUAGCUCUUGCCAACCUAAGCAGUUUUUUUGCAAGUCUUGUUAACGCAGAACUUUCACUUUUUAAAAUCCUAUUUCUAGAAGCACCUUCUGCCUUUUCUCCAUGUCCUUGUUUUUGUAGCCCUUUUACACAUGAUCUUUCAAAAGCAAUAAACUUAUUUAUAUCCUGUCCCAUUUGGAAAUGGAUGGAAGGUGACUGCUUGAAGAUCUCAGACAAUUUCAUACUCAAAUUUCACACUUCAAAAGGAACCCAAAAUAUGCCUUUCCUGAGUCUUGGCCAUGUCGGAUCUGAGCCAUCUCUAAAAUAUGGGUCCUUAGUGUCAUUCUCAAAGCUUUUUUAAAAGCAGAUACUGCCAACUUGCUUAGUAAUGAAUUCACCCUCUCAAACCAGAUAUUUAAUAUUUUUUAAAAAACAUUGUUUUUGUAACAGCUAUGUAUUUAAAGAUUUGCAGAGAUAAUACAAACAGUUCAGAGACAUGUCUCACAGCCAGCUUCUUCAAUUAUUAACAUCUUCCAUUAGUAUGGUACAUUUGUCACAAUUAUUGAACCAGUAGUGACAAUGUUAUUAACUGAAGUCCAGCUUUGAUUUCGUUCAUUUUCUUUGGUUUAUUUUCAAUUUCAGUGAUUUCUGCUCUAAUUUUUAUUUUUUUCUCUGUUUGCAUCACUCUUAUUCUUUUCUAUAGUUUCCUUUCCUAUAGCUUAUUGAUUUUAGAUAUUUCUUUUCAUCUAAUAUAUAUAUUUAAUGCUAUAAAUUUCCUUCUAAGCACUGCUUUCACUGCAUCCCACAAAUUUUGAUAAGUUGUAUUUUUAAAAAUUUUUACUGUUUUAUUAUUUUUUUAAAGAGACAGGAGACUCACUAUGUUGCCCAGGCUACUCUCAAACUCCUGGCCUCAAGUGAUCCUCCCGCCUCAGCCUCCCAAAAUGUGAUAUAAAACCAUAUUGUUACAUUUCUUGUUUCAUUUCCUGUGAACUUGGAAACUUAAAACUCCUUGUCUCACUGUAAAACAGAUCAUGACGUUUUAUAGUUGAAAUAAUCAGUGCUGAUAAUGGGGUGUAAAAUUUGCAGAGGCACAGAAAAACUCAGUGAUUGCAAUAAAUAUUUUAAUGCAAUACUUUUAGUUCAUGUAAAACAUUUAUAAUGAAUAAAAUAAGAAUUUAAUAACAUCAGGACCAAUAUAUUAUCUAAAGAGCGGAAGUCCCUCCCACAUGGACCAAACAUGGAACCUACUCUUUUAUUGCUCAGCACAACUGAGACAGGUUGCAGCCUUUAGUAAGACUUAACUCAACGUUCAGGACUUAACUCGAAUGACAGAAAGUCAUUUCAAUGCAAUACACAGUUUUAUUUCAGCUGCCAAUGGAUACUGCAGCUUUCAGAGCUCUUCGUCCAGGAGCCAUCUUUACCGGAUGCCUUGGCCCAGUGUGCAUGAGGAUAGAAAGUAUGUAAUCCUCUACCCAGACAGAGUACCUUUGAGCUAGUCUCCUGACACUGGUAUCCCGUGCUACCAGCAAAGAUCUAUACAACAGAAACAGGUGCCAUACAGUUUCUCCUUGCCAAGCCAAUCUAAGGACUGAGUUGUCAGUCCUAAUUUCCUCAUUUAGAAUGCACCUCUUUCUGAAAUAACUGAUGAGAAUAUCCUUUUGCAUCAACAAAAACUUUGCCUAUAGGGCUUGGAAUUUGUCAUAGGGCAUCGGUAAGAAAUCACACCAGAAUACAUUAGUAUAAUAUCAGAACCUUUCUCCAAAUAUGUAUGAUUCUGUUUUAAUAGCUUCACAUGCAAGAGAUCAAAAUUAUAGUCCAGGCUCAAUUCUACUUUAUCACUUGAGUUCCCUCUUUGUGUGAGAUGAAGAUCUGCCCUCACGUAUUUUCUAUCAAUGGCUAAGUCUCAACCCUGCAUCACUCAUGAAUAAUUUCUUUAACAACAACAGAAGCAACAACAAGAACAAGACACACUCUCUCACACCCACACGCACACACCCCUACCUCCAUAAGAAAGAGUAGCAGAUCAUAGGCAUAGUGUAGCUUAAAUUUAAAAAGGGAAAUAAACUCUUUAUAAAAAUGCCACCCGGCCCCGCGCGAUGCUUACGCCUGUUAUCCCAGCACUUUGGGAGGCAGAGGCAGGCGGAUCACAAGGUCAGGAGACUGAGAUCAUCCUGGCCAACAUGGUGAAACCCCGUCUCUACUAAAAAUACAAAAAUUAGCUGGGCUUGGUGGUGCGUGCCUGUAAUCCCAGCUACUCGGGAGGCUGAGGCAGGAGAAUCGCCUGAACAAGGGAGUUGGAGGUUGCAGUGAGCCGAGAUUGCACCAGCUUGGCGACAGAGCAAGACUCCAUCUCAAAAAAAAAAAAAAAAAAAAAAAAAAAAAAAAGGGCUGCUCUACCUCCUCAACUCCUCUAUGUCACUCUUGCUCUCUCAUUCUCUCAUGAUGUCACAGAACAUUCUACCUCCUUAGAAAUUACUCUUUUGGUUAAACUAUCAGCUUAAUAUGGAUAUAAUCAAAUAAUCCCUUCUGGUGGUUUUCCCAGAAGCAAGGUCUCAGGAUAUAUUUAGGCCUCACCUCCUGCGAGGUUUCUACCAGCAUAUUUAAGGUUUUGAAAAUAUUAGAACCAAAUUUUACCUAGGGCGCCAUGUUACAAUUACCGUAAUGUAUUUCAGCACAUCCUCACCAGUUACUAAUGAAAAUUUCAAAAUUUCACUGGUCCUAAAAAAUAAGGAUAAAUAUAUGAGAUGCUUAAAAAGUUAAAUGUAUUUAAAGAAUACUCCUUUAUUCUUUGAUUACAUCACUAGUACAUCCUUUUUCUGUUAAUUUAUUAAAUUAUAAUGUCAUAGGUUUUGUUUUGUUGUUCGUUGCUUGUUUGGUUUUGAGAAAGGGUCUUGCUGUGUCACCCAGCCUGGAGUGCAGUGACCAUCAUGGCUCACUGCAGCCUCUACCUCCUGGGCUCAAAUGGUCCUCCCACCUCAGCCUCCUGAAUGGCUGGGACUACAAGGCAUACAUGACCAUGCCUGGGUAAUUUUUAAAUUUUUUGUAGAGAUGGGGUGUCUCACUGUGUUGCCCAGGCUGGUCUUGAACUCCUAAUCUCAAGCAGUUUUCCUGCCUUAGCCUUCCACAGUGUCGGGAUUACAGGCAUGAGCCACUGCACCCAGCCAUGUUUUUUAAUUCUGAUUUUACAAAAUACAAAUUUUGAAAGCAUGUGUCAUCCACCUCAGGUUGUUGGCUUGUGGGUUUGUUGUUGUAGCUUACUAUGGGCUGAAUUAUGUUCCCCCUGUCCCCAAGCCCCUGAUUCAUAUAUUGAGGUCCAAACCCCAGAAACUUAGAAUGUGACUGUAUUUGAAGAUAGAGUCUUUAAAAAGGUAAAUUAAUUAAAAUGAGGUUAUUAGGGUGGGCCUAAUAACCCACCUUUUGACUGGUAUCCUUAAUAACGGGAGGAACUUCCGAUACAGACAAGCAACAGAAGGAAGAUGACAUGGCCAAGUGUGGCGGCUCAUGCAUAUAACCCCAGCACUUUGGGAGGCCGAGGCAGGCGGAUCACCUAAGUUCAGGAGUUCGAGACAAGCCUGGCCAACAUGGUGAAACCCCAUCUCUACCAAAACAUACAAAAAUUAGCCAGGCGUGGUGGUAUGUGCCUGUAAUCACAGCUACUCAGGAGCUGAGGUGGGAGAAUCGCUUGAACCUAGGAGGCA
rnacentral:lncRNA from 1 species